AGAGUUUGAUCAUGGCUCAGAUUGAACGCUGGCGGCAGGCCUAACACAUGCAAGUCGAGCGGUAGCACAGAGAGCUUGCUCUCGGGUGACGAGCGGCGGACGGGUGAGUAAUGUCUGGGAAACUGCCUGAUGGAGGGGGAUAACUACUGGAAACGGUAGCUAAUACCGCAUAACGUCGCAAGACCAAAGUGGGGGACCUUCGGGCCUCAUGCCAUCAGAUGUGCCCAGAUGGGAUUAGCUAGUAGGUGGGGUAACGGCUCACCUAGGCGACGAUCCCUAGCUGGUCUGAGAGGAUGACCAGCCACACUGGAACUGAGACACGGUCCAGACUCCUACGGGAGGCAGCAGUGGGGAAUAUUGCACAAUGGGCGCAAGCCUGAUGCAGCCAUGCCGCGUGUGUGAAGAAGGCCUUCGGGUUGUAAAGCACUUUCAGCGGGGAGGAAGGCGUUAAGGUUAAUAACCUCAUCGAUUGACGUUACCCGCAGAAGAAGCACCGGCUAACUCCGUGCCAGCAGCCGCGGUAAUACGGAGGGUGCAAGCGUUAAUCGGAAUUACUGGGCGUAAAGCGCACGCAGGCGGUCUGUCAAGUCGGAUGUGAAAUCCCCGGGCUCAACCUGGGAACUGCAUUCGAAACUGGCAGGCUAGAGUCUUGUAGAGGGGGGUAGAAUUCCAGGUGUAGCGGUGAAAUGCGUAGAGAUCUGGAGGAAUACCGGUGGCGAAGGCGGCCCCCUGGACAAAGACUGACGCUCAGGUGCGAAAGCGUGGGGAGCAAACAGGAUUAGAUACCCUGGUAGUCCACGCCGUAAACGAUGUCGAUUUGGAGGUUGUGCCCUUGAGGCGUGGCUUCCGGAGCUAACGCGUUAAAUCGACCGCCUGGGGAGUACGGCCGCAAGGUUAAAACUCAAAUGAAUUGACGGGGGCCCGCACAAGCGGUGGAGCAUGUGGUUUAAUUCGAUGCAACGCGAAGAACCUUACCUGGUCUUGACAUCCACAGAACUUUCCAGAGAUGGAUUGGUGCCUUCGGGAACUGUGAGACAGGUGCUGCAUGGCUGUCGUCAGCUCGUGUUGUGAAAUGUUGGGUUAAGUCCCGCAACGAGCGCAACCCUUAUCCUUUGUUGCCAGCGGUCCGGCCGGGAACUCAAAGGAGACUGCCAGUGAUAAACUGGAGGAAGGUGGGGAUGACGUCAAGUCAUCAUGGCCCUUACGACCAGGGCUACACACGUGCUACAAUGGCAUAUACAAAGAGAAGCGACCUCGCGAGAGCAAGCGGACCUCAUAAAGUAUGUCGUAGUCCGGAUUGGAGUCUGCAACUCGACUCCAUGAAGUCGGAAUCGCUAGUAAUCGUAGAUCAGAAUGCUACGGUGAAUACGUUCCCGGGCCUUGUACACACCGCCCGUCACACCAUGGGAGUGGGUUGCAAAAGAAGUAGGUAGCUUAACCUUCGGGAGGGCGCUUACCACUUUGUGAUUCAUGACUGGGGUGAAGUCGUAACAAGGUAACCGUAGGGGAACCUGCGGUUG
rnacentral:rRNA from 5 species